AUACGAUGAUAAUAAUGAUGAUGAUGAUGGAUGGUCAUGAUGAUGAUGAUGAUGAUGGAUUGGUUCAUACAGAGCUAGUUUCGGAGAGGCCAAAUUCAAGUCCCCAAAGCUCAAAAGCACCCUUGACGAAGUCAUAGUAGCCUCCCUUCAAAGCAAGUGUUCCCUUCACAAGUCCUUCUCUCACAAAUGGAUAUGUCAAUAGGUUUGCUAGUGAAACAUUCACCGCCUCCUGCAUUUAUCAAUACAUUUAUAUUGUUAUAUAUGAUCAGCUCAUCGAUCUAACAUGU
rnacentral:sRNA from 1 species